UGCAGAGGGUGCGAGCGUUAAUCGGAAUUACUGGGCGUAAAGCGUGCGUAGACGGCUAUCUAAGUCGGGUGUGAAAGCCCCGGGCUUAACCUGGGAAUGGCAUUGGAAACUGGCUCGCUGGAGUGUGGCAGAGGGGGGUGGAAUUCCGCGUGUAGCAGUGAAAUGCGUAGAGAUGCGGAGGAACACCGAUGGCGAAGGCAGCCCCCUGGGCUAACACUGACGCUCAGGCACGAAAGCGUGGGGAGCAAACAGG
rnacentral:rRNA from 1 species